UACGUAGGGGGCUAGCGUUGUCCGGAUUUAUUGGGCGUAAAGAGCGUGUAGGCGGCCAAGUAGGUCCGGUGUGAAAACUCGAGGCUUAACCUCGAGAUGUCAUCGGAAACCAUUUGGCUAGAGUCCGGAAGAGGAAAGUGGAAUUCCUGGUGUAGCGGUGAAAUGCGCAGAUAUCAGGAAGAACACCGGUGGCGAAGGCGGCUAUCUGGACCGACAUUGACGCUGAGGCGCGAAAGCGUGGGGAGCGAACAGG
rnacentral:rRNA from 1 species